rnacentral:rRNA from 1 species
AUUGAACGCUAGCGGCAUGCUUAACACAUGCAAGUCGAACGGUAGCAGUACUAGCUUGCUAGUAGCUGACGAGUGGCGGACGGGUGAGUAACGCGUAGGAAUCUGGCAUAGAGAGGGGGAUAACUUGGGGAAACUCAAGCUAAUACCGCAUACGGCAUACGUGCUAAAGCAUGGGACCUUCGGGCCAUGCACUCUAUGAUGAGCCUGCGUCAGAUUAGCUUGUUGGUGGGGUAAAGGCCUACCAAGGCGAAGAUCUGUAGCUGGUCUGAGAGGACGACCAGCCACACUGGGACUGAGACACGGCCCAGACUCCUACGGGAGGCAGCAGUGGGGAAUAUUGGACAAUGGGGGCAACCCUGAUCCAGCAAUGCCGCGUGUGUGAAGAAGGCCUGCGGGUUGUAAAGCACUUUCAGUGGGGAGGAAGGUUCUAAUGUUAAUAGCAUUAGGAAUUGACGUUACCCACAGAAGAAGCACCGGCUAACUCUG